GGGUUGCGGAUCGGCAGGGUCAGCUCGGUGUUCGCGGCGCCGGUGACGUGCCCGACGUUCGCGCCGUUGGCGGCCCGC
rnacentral:tRNA from 1 species